UACGUAGGGUGCAAGCGUUAAUCGGAAUUACUGGGCGUAAAGGGUGCGCAGGCGGUUUUAUAAGUCAGCUGUGAAAUCCCCGGGCUCAACCUGGGAAUGGCAGUUGAGACUGUAAGGCUAGAGUGUGUCAGAGGGGGGUAGAAUUCCACGUGUAGCAGUGAAAUGCGUAGAGAUGUGGAGGAAUACCGAUGGCGAAGGCAGCCCCCUGGGAUAACACUGACGCUCAGGCACGAAAGCGUGGGGAGCAAACAGG
rnacentral:rRNA from 1 species